UCAGGGCUUACUUCAAAGUUAAACUUUUAACAGGCUUCUCUGGGAGAUAUUGGCACUCCCUGUGCUGCAUGACAGAACUCUGCGGUGCAGCUCUACUAUUCCCUCACAAAGAGAAGCCACCAUGAAGCUUAUGUGAUUUUUAAUUCAAUAUAAAUUUUUCAUCAUGGACUCAGGAGGUUAUUAUGUUGUAAAGUGAUCAUUUGUGAUACUACUGUGUUAUUUUAGAACCAACAGAAAAGAUUUACUGAAGAUAAAAGCUAAGCACAAAUGGAACAUCUGUCUUCCUACACUGCCUGACAAUUUAACUGACAGACUUAGUUUCUCAGCCUCAGAACUGAUGAGAAGGCCUUUAGAAAAUCUGCAAAGUUCUUAAAAGGGUACCUGCACCUUACUAGAAGAUGGGAAGCAAGAUUAAAAAGCAACAACAUUUGUCCUUAAUGCAGCCAGCAUGGGCACUGUGAUUCCACUAAGAACUGCAAAAAACAAAGCUGCAAGUAUCAUGCCAAAGACAGAACUGGGCUAAAAGGUCUUUUUUAUACCAACAUUUCCAGUCUCCAGCAGCAGAUUUCAGCUAUUAUCUUAAAUCAAAUGUAAACGUUGUUAUUUAGAAGUAUACAUCAGUGUCAUAAAUAAAAAAGUAGCUGGAUGAAUUUAAGUGCUCAGAAUGGUGUUAUCUGGGCUACUCAAAGUAUUCCGAGUAAAGAUAUUUUCCAUCUC